UACGUAGGGUGCGAGCGUUGUCCGGAAUUAUUGGGCGUAAAGGGCUCGUAGGCGGUUUGUCGCGUCGGGAGUGAAAACACCGGGCUUAACUCGGUGCUUGCUUUCGAUACGGGCAGACUAGAGGUAUGCAGGGGAGAACGGAAUUCCUGGUGUAGCGGUGAAAUGCGCAGAUAUCAGGAGGAACACCGGUGGCGAAGGCGGUUCUCUGGGCAUUACCUGACGCUGAGAAGCGAAAGCAUGGGGAGCGAACAGG
rnacentral:rRNA from 1 species